GACGAACGCUGGCGGCGUGCCUAAUACAUGCAAGUUGAGCGCUGAAGGCUGGUACUUGUACCAACUGGAUGAGCAGCGAACGGGUGAGUAACGCGUGGGGAAUCUGCCUUUGAGCGGGGGACAACAUUUGGAAACGAAUGCUAAUACCGCAUAAAAACUUUCAACACAAGUUUUAAGUUUGAAAGAUGCAAUUGCAUCACUCAAAGAUGAUCCCGCGUUGUAUUAGCUAGUUGGUGAGGUAAAGGCUCACCAAGGCGAUGAUACAUAGCCGACAUGAGAGGGUGGUCGGCCACAGUGGGACUGAGACACGGCCCAAACUGCUACGGGAGGCAGCAGUAGGGAAUCGUCGGCAAUGGACGAAAGUCUGACCGAGCAACGCCGCGGGAGGGAAGAAGGUUUUCGGAUCGUAAAACUCUGUUGGUAGGGAAGAACGUUGGUGAGAGUGGAAAGCUCAGCAAGUGACGGUAACUACCCAGAAAGGGACGGCUAACUACGUG
rnacentral:rRNA from 1 species